rnacentral:rRNA from 1 species
CCUACGGGGGGCAGCAGUGGGGAAUAUUGCACAAUGGGGGAAACCCUGAUGCAGCGACGCCGCGUGAGUGAAGAAGUAUUUCGGUAUGUAAAGCUCUAUCAGCAGGGAAGAUAAUGACGGUACCUGACUAAGAAGCUCCGGCUAAAUACGUGCCAGCAGCCGCGGUAAUACGUAUGGAGCAAGCGUUAUCCGGAUUUACUGGGUGUAAAGGGAGCGCAGACGGCAAGGCAAGUCUGAUGUGAAAGUCCGAGGCUCAACCUCGGGACUGCAUUGGAAACUGUCUGGCUAGAGUGCAGGAGAGGUAA